UCUCUGGGCUCUUCGACCCGAAUUCUCGACCCGGUAACCCGCAAAGGAGAUCCGACAGAAUCUCCCUCGUCCGGCGACUUAACAGCGGUGCACUGGUCAUGCUCGAUGCGUCUUUUCAUCGUGGUUCCUCCUCUGGUCACGGAUCAUCCAUGCAUGGAGCGAGGAGAGAGAAUCGAAGCCCAAAAGCUUCAGGUUUUCUGGCGAAGUUUCUGAAAUUUCCGGCUAUCUCCGGGGCUGCAUGAGGUAUGGAAAUCGAUCCUCUCGGUGAGCUCUACGUACUGGUAUACUUAGUUUUCAGUUUUGGAUGGGUUCUGAUGAGUUGAUGUUUUGGUGGUCUUCGGGUACCGGCGGAGCCGCUGUCCUGCUUGGUAUUCCUAUGCUUCUGGGUUGGUCUCCGACCUCCUGGAGCACGGAUUGGCACCUGGUGGAGCUUGAUUCCUUGAGUGGGUUGAAUUGGUGAGUUGUGGUAUACGCUGCCACCAGGGUAUGUUUGAAUUUCCUUUUGGAUUUUGAGAGAGAUUGGGUUUUUGAAUUUGGUUUUUGGUUUUUGGUUUUCGGUUGAUGACGGGAAACUGAAACUUAAUUGGGUUGAGAAGCUAUAUAAGGAUUUCCAUUAAGUCAGAAUUGAGAAGGGUGGAGAGCGGUGGACGAUGAAGGUAAACAGAGAAGGAAACAGAAAGAGAGUAGAGAAUGUUCAGUUGCUUGGUCCAACAACGCAGCAGGAAGAAGGAGUUUAAAAUAAAGAAUUUAUAAGGACUCCAGUUACCCGAGGAACGGAAGGUUCGUGACUCUCGGAGUACGUGAAGAAAAGCAUCGGAAUCCAGGUAGGGGAUUCGGGACUCUCCUCGAUUAGUGGGUUUAUUAUAUUACGAUUUUUUAUUAAAUGAUGCAUGUUAAGUUUAUGUGGUUUGGUUAUGUUAAAAUGCAAUGCAUACUAACCAAAUCGUGAGAGAUGUGAUGGCUUGAGAGCGAAGGGUGGCUCUGACUUCCUUGGGUUCGAUCCCCAAAACCUCCGGAGGGUUAGCUACACCGGUCGGACGGUGCGCGAUCGCAAUGACGACCCGAUCUGUGUGUGUAGCUAGGUAGCGGACGCUCUCGCUACGCUUACCUGGUUAUAAAUUAAUUUGAGGUAAGGUCGUGUAGUGGGUCUAUGGGACCGGCCAUCAGGUAAUAUUUGGAUUUGGCGCUGUAUUUAUUUAAGUAUCAUGCAUCGGUUUUCGAGUUGAAAAAUAUUUUAAAGUUUGUAGUUCUUUUAAUGACAUGGUUUUGAGUAUGUUUUUAUACUGUGGCCACAAAGCAAUAUUACAUUGUUUUCAAACCUAGUCGAGAUGAUUUCCCAAUGAGUAGCGAGGACGAAAGCUCACCCCUA